UACCAGCUCUCCGAGUGGUAGGGAUGUUUAUUGGGCUUAAAGCGUCCGUAGCCGGCUUAGCAAGUCUCCUGUUAAAUUCAGCGACCUAAUCGUUGAGCCGCGGGAGAUACUACUAGGCUAGGAGGCGGGAGAGGUCAACGGUACUUCCGGGGUAGGGGUGAAAUCCUAUAAUCCCGGGAGGACCACCAGUGGCGAAGGCUGUUGACUAGAACGCGCCCGACGGUGAGGGAUGAAAGCUGGGGGAGCGAACCGGAUUAGAUACCCGGGUAGUCCCGGCUGUAAACGAUGCAGGCUAGGUGUUUGGACGGCCACGUGCCGUUCUAGUGCCGCAGGGAAGCCGUUAAGCCUGCCGCCUGGGGAGUACGGCCGCAAGGCUGAAACUUAAAGGAUUGGCGGGGAGCACCACAAGGGUGAAGCUUGCGGUUU
rnacentral:rRNA from 1 species